rnacentral:rRNA from 1 species
CCUACGGGGGGCUGCAGUGGGGAAUAUUGGACAAUGGGGGGAACCCUGAUCCAGCCAUGCCGCGUGUGUGAAGAAGGCCCUCGGGUUGUAAAGCACUUUCAGUGAGGAAGAACGCCUGGUGGUUAAUACCCAUCAGGAAAGACAUCACUCACAGAAGAAGCACCGGCUAACUCCGUGCCAGCAGCCGCGGUAAUACGGAGGGUGCGAGCGUUAAUCGGAAUUACUGGGCGUAAAGCGCGCGUAGGUGGCUUGAUAAGCCGGUUGUGAAAGCCCCGGGCUCAACCUGGGAACGGCAUCCGGAACUGUCAAGCUAGAGUGCAGGAGAGGAGGGUAGAAUUGCCGGUGUAGCGGUGAAAUGCGUAGAGAUCGGGAGGAAUACCAGUGGCGAAGGCGGCCUUCUGGACUGACACUGACACUGAGGUGCGAAAGCGUGGGUAGCAAACAGGAUUAGAUACCCGAGUAGUC